GUCCCCAUCGACUAGCGGUUAGGUCACCACUCUUUCAAGGUGGCGGCACGGGUUCGAAUCCCGUUGGGGACGCCA
rnacentral:tRNA from 8 species